UUCUGGAUAGGAGGGUAAAACAGCAUUGUUCACUCGAGAACCUGAGAAUUGGGGAGGCUUUCUCAUUCCUUCCAUAUGGAGCAGCAGCUCCAAACUAGAGAUGAUUCUGAUCGUUUGUUUCACACUGUCACCUCGAGGCACUUGGACAGCUCCUAAAGACAGCAUCUUUGCCAAGAACGCCAGAUUCCAUGGUGACACUGGGGCUGUAGCCAUGAGACAUGCAUACACCAGGAAGAAAAAUGGAACUAAAAAGGGAAAACAAUAGCAACAAAGAUCAAAAUAAAUAACAAGGAAGCAGAGAGAAGAAAGAACACGGUGAAGAGAGUGAAAAGUGUUGUCAUUUGGGGUGAAUAGCAGAAAGAAAUAAAUUAUUGUUCUUAUAUGUAAGUGA